UGGGGAAUAUUGCACAAUGGGGGAAACCCUGAUGCAGCGACGCCGCGUGAACGAAGAAGGUAUUCGUAUCGUAAAGUUCUGUCCUAUGGGAAGAUAAUGACAGUACCAUAGAAGAAAGCUCCGGCUAAAUACGUGCCAGCAGCCGCGGUAAUACGUAUGGAGCGAGCGUUGUCCGGAAUUAUUGGGCGUAAAGGGUACGCAGGCGGUUUAAUAAGUCGAAUGUUAAAGAUCGGGGCUCAACCCCGCAAAGCAUUGGAAACUGAUAAACUUGAGUAGUGGAGAGGAAAGUGGAAUUCCUAGUGUAGUGGUGAAAUACGUAGAUAUAUGGAGGAACACCAGUGGCGAAGGCGGCUCUCUGGUCUGUAACUGACGCUGAGGCUCGAAAGCGUGGGGAGCAAACAGG
rnacentral:rRNA from 1 species